rnacentral:rRNA from 1 species
CCCUUAGAUGUUCUGGGCCGCACGCGCGCUACACUGAAGGGAUCAGCGUGUUUUCCCUUUCCGAGAGGAACGGGUAACCCGCUGAACCCCCUUCGUGGUAGGGAUCGGAGCUUGCAAUUGUUCUCCGUGAACCAGGAAUUCCCAGUAAGCGCAAGUCAUAAGCUUGCGUUGAUUACGUCCCUGCCCUUUGUACACACCGCCCGUCGCUACUACCGAUUGAGUGGUCCGGUGAGGCUUUGGGAUCUGAGCGGAAAGAGCGUUUCGCUGUUUCUGCCCGGAAAACUCAGUCGAACCUUAUCAUUUAGAGGAAGGAGAAGUCGUAACA